GGGGGGGGGGGGGGGGGAUACAUGCAGUCGAGCGAAGAGAUGGGAGCUUGCUCCCAGAUCUUAGCGGCGGACGGGUGAGUAACACGUGGGCAACCUGCCCUGCAGACUGGGAUAACUCCGGGAAACCGGAGCUAAUACCGGGUAAUACAUCGCACCGCAUGGUGCAAUGUUGAAAGUUGGCUUUCUGAGCUAACACUGCAGGAUGGGCCCGCGGCGCAUUAGCUAGUUGGUAAGGUAAUGGCUUACCAAGGCAACGAUGCGUAGCCGACCUGAGAGGGUGAUCGGCCACACUGGGACUGAGACACGGCCCAGACUCCUACGGGAGGCAGCAGUAGGGAAUCUUCCGCAAUGGACGAAAGUCUGACGGAGCAACGCCGCGUGAGUGACGAAGGCCUUCGGGUCGUAAAGCUCUGUUGUUAGGGAAGAACAAGUACCGUUCGAAUAGGGCGGUACCUUGACGGUACCUAACCAGAAAGCCACGGCUAACUACGUGCCAGCAGCCGCGGUAAUACGUAGGUGGCAAGCGUUGUCCGGAAUUAUUGGGCGUAAAGCGCGCGCAGGCGGUCUUUUAAGUCUGAUGUGAAAGCCCACGGCUCAACCGUGGAGGGUCAUUGGAAACUGGAGGACUUGAGUGCAGAAGAGGAGAGUGGAAUUCCACGUGUAGCGGUGAAAUGCGUAGAUAUGUGGAGGAACACCAGUGGCGAAGGCGGCUCUCUGGUCUGUAACUGACGCUGAGGCGCGAAAGCGUGGGGAGCAAACAGGAUUAGAUACCCUGGUAGUCCACGCCGUAAACGAUGAGUGCUAGGUGUUUGGGGGGUUCCACCCUCAGUGCUGAAGUUAACACAUUAAGCACUCCGCCUGGGGAGUACGACCGCAAGGUUGAAACUCAAAAGAAAUUAACGGGGGGCCCGCACAAGCAAUUGAACCAUGUUGUUUUAAUUCCAAACCAACGCCGAAAAACCUUACCAAGUCGUUGACAUCCCUCUAACAAUCCUGGGAGACAAGAACGUUCCCCCUUCCGGGGGACAGAAUUGACAAAUUGGUGCCAUGGUUUUUCGUUCACCCUCGUUGUCCUGAGAGAUGUUUUGGGUUAAAGUCCCCGCGAACGAAGCCGCAACCGCUGUGAUGCUUAAGUUGCGCAACCAUUU
rnacentral:rRNA from 2 species